rnacentral:rRNA from 1 species
UACGUAGGGGGCAAGCGUUGUCCGGAUUUAUUGGGCGUAAAGAGCGUGUAGGCGGCCAGGUAGGUCCGUUGUGAAAACUCGAGGCUCAACCUCGAGACGUCGACGGAAACCAUCUGGCUAGAGUCCGGAAGAGGAGAGUGGAAUUCCUGGUGUAGCGGUGAGAUGCGCAGAUAUCAGGAAGAACACCCGUGGCGAAGGCGGCUCUCUGGGACGGUACUGACGCUGAGACGCGAAAGCGUGGGGAGCGAACAGG